UUCCGUAGGUGAACCUGCGGAGGGAUCAUUACACAAAUAUGAAGGCGGGCUGGAACCUCUCGGGGUUACAGCCUUGCUGAAUUAUUCACCCUUGUCUUUUGCGUACUUCUUGUUUCCUUGGUGGGUUCGCCCACCACUAGGACAAACAUAAACCUUUUGUAAUUGCAAUCAGCGUCAGUAACAAAUUAAUAAUUACAACUUUCAACAACGGAUCUCUUGGUUCUGGCAUCGAUGAAGAACGCAGCGAAAUGCGAUAAGUAGUGUGAAUUGCAGAAUUCAGUGAAUCAUCGAAUCUUUGAACGCACAUUGCGCCCUUUGGUAUUCCAAAGGGCAUGCCUGUUCGAGCGUCAUUUGUACCCUCAAGCUUUGCUUGGUGUUGGGCGUCUUGUCUCUAGCUUUGCUGGAGACUCGCCUUAAAGUAAUUGGCAGCCGGCCUACUGGUUUCGGAGCGCAGCACAAGUCGCACUCUCUAUCAGCAAAGGUCUAGCAUCCAUUAAGCCUUUUUUUCAACUUUGACCUCGGAUCAGGUAGG
rnacentral:rRNA from 1 species